rnacentral:rRNA from 1 species
AGCGUACACGGUGGAUGCCCUGGCAGUCAGAGGCGAUGAAGGACGUGCUAAUCUGCGAUAAGCGUCGGUAAGGUGAUAUGAACCGUUAUAACCGGCGAUUUCCGAAUGGGGAAACCCAGUGUGUUUCGACACACUAUCAUUAACUGAAUCCAUAGGUUAAUGAGGCGAACCGGGGGAACUGAAACAUCUAAGUACCCCGAGGAAAAGAAAUCAACCGAGAUUCCCCCAGUAGCGGCGAGCGAACGGGGAGCAGCCCAGAGCCUGAAUCAGUGUGUGUGUUAGUGGAAGCGUCUGGAAAGGCGUGCGAUACAGGGUGACAGCCCCGUACACAAAAAUGCACAUGCUGUGAGCUCGAUGAGUAGGGCGGGACACGUGGUAUCCUGUCUGAAUAUGGGGGGACCAUCCUCCAAGGCUAAAUACUCCUGACUGACCGAUAGUGAACCAGUACCGUGAGGGAAAGGCGAAAAGAACCCCGGCGAGGGGAGUGAAAAAGAACCUGAAACCGUGUACGUACAAGCAGUGGGAGCACGCUUCGGCGUGUGACUGCGUACCUUUUGUAUAAUGGGUCAGCGACUUAUAUUCUGUAGCAAGGUUAACCGAAUAGGGGAGCCGAAGGGAAACCGAGUCUUAACUGGGCGUUAAGUUGCAGGGUAUAGACCCGAAACCCGGUGAUCUAGCCAUGGGCAGGUUGAAGGUUGGGUAACACUAACUGGAGGACCGAACCGACUAAUGUUGAAAAAUUAGCGGAUGACUUGUGGCUGGGGGUGAAAGGCCAAUCAAACCGGGAGAUAGCUGGUUCUCCCCGAAAGCUAUUUAGGUAGCGCCUCGUGAAUUCAUCUCCGGGGGUAGAGCACUGUUUCGGCAAGGGGGUCAUCCCGACUUACCAACCCGAUGCAAACUGCGAAUACCGGAGAAUGUUAUCACGGGAGACACACGGCGGGUGCUAACGUCCGUCGUGAAGAGGGAAACAACCCAGACCGCCAGCUAAGGUCCCAAAGUCAUGGUUAAGUGGGAAACGAUGUGGGAAGGCCCAGACAGCCAGGAUGUUGGCUUAGAAGCAGCCAUCAUUUAAAGAAAGCGUAAUAGCUCACUGGUCGAGUCGGCCUGCGCGGAAGAUGUAACGGGGCUAAACCAUGCACCGAAGCUGCGGCAGCGACGCUUAUGCGUUGUUGGGUAGGGGAGCGUUCUGUAAGCCUGCGAAGGUGUGCUGUGAGGCAUGCUGGAGGUAUCAGAAGUGCGAAUGCUGACAUAAGUAACGAUAAAGCGGGUGAAAAGCCCGCUCGCCGGAAGACCAAGGGUUCCUGUCCAACGUUAAUCGGGGCAGGGUGAGUCGACCCCUAAGGCGAGGCCGAAAGGCGUAGUCGAUGGGAAACAGGUUAAUAUUCCUGUACUUGGUGUUACUGCGAAGGGGGGACGGAGAAGGCUAUGUUGGCCGGGCGACGGUUGUCCCGGUUUAAGCGUGUAGGCUGGUUUUCCAGGCAAAUCCGGAAAAUCAAGGCUGAGGCGUGAUGACGAGGCACUACGGUGCUGAAGCAACAAAUGCCCUGCUUCCAGGAAAAGCCUCUAAGCAUCAGGUAACAUCAAAUCGUACCCCAAACCGACACAGGUGGUCAGGUAGAGAAUACCAAGGCGCUUGAGAGAACUCGGGUGAAGGAACUAGGCAAAAUGGUGCCGUAACUUCGGGAGAAGGCACGCUGAUAUGUAGGUGAAGUCCCUCGCGGAUGGAGCUGAAAUCAGUCGAAGAUACCAGCUGGCUGCAACUGUUUAUUAAAAACACAGCACUGUGCAAACACGAAAGUGGACGUAUACGGUGUGACGCCUGCCCGGUGCCGGAAGGUUAAUUGAUGGGGUUAGCCGCAAGGCGAAGCUCUUGAUCGAAGCCCCGGUAAACGGCGGCCGUAACUAUAACGGUCCUAAGGUAGCGAAAUUCCUUGUCGGGUAAGUUCCGACCUGCACGAAUGGCGUAAUGAUGGCCAGGCUGUCUCCACCCGAGACUCAGUGAAAUUGAACUCGCUGUGAAGAUGCAGUGUACCCGCGGCAAGACGGAAAGACCCCGUGAACCUUUACUAUAGCUUGACACUGAACAUUGAGCCUUGAUGUGUAGGAUAGGUGGGAGGCUUUGAAGUGUGGACGCCAGUCUGCAUGGAGCCGACCUUGAAAUACCACCCUUUAAUGUUUGAUGUUCUAACGUGGACCCGUAAUCCGGGUUGCGGACAGUGUCUGGUGGGUAGUUUGACUGGGGCGGUCUCCUCCUAAAGAGUAACGGAGGAGCACGAAGGUUGGCUAAUCCUGGUCGGACAUCAGGAGGUUAGUGCAAUGGCAUAAGCCAGCUUGACUGCGAGCGUGACGGCGCGAGCAGGUGCGAAAGCAGGUCAUAGUGAUCCGGUGGUUCUGAAUGGAAGGGCCAUCGCUCAACGGAUAAAAGGUACUCCGGGGAUAACAGGCUGAUACCGCCCAAGAGUUCAUAUCGACGGCGGUGUUUGGCACCUCGAUGUCGGCUCAUCACAUCCUGGGGCUGAAGUAGGUCCCAAGGGUAUGGCUGUUCGCCAUUUAAAGUGGUACGCGAGCUGGGUUUAGAACGUCGUGAGACAGUUCGGUCCCUAUCUGCCGUGGGCGCUGGAGAACUGAGGGGGGCUGCUCCUAGUACGAGAGGACCGGAGUGGACGCAUCACUGGUGUUCGGGUUGUCAUGCCAAUGGCACUGCCCGGUAGCUAAAUGCGGAAGAGAUAAGUGCUGAAAGCAUCUAAGCACGAAACUUGCCCCGAGAUGAGUUCUCCCUGACUCCUUGA